rnacentral:lncRNA from 1 species
UCUGCAUUGUACAAUUAAAAUCAAAUAGAGUUUCUCCCUCAAAAGUAUGGGCCUAAUCAAAACAGCAUAUUAUCAUACCAUUAAAAAACUAUAUUUUUUUAUUUUAAUGUGGUAUAAAAAUUGAAGAUAUGUGGAACAUUAAAAUUUCAGCUGCAAUUGAUCAUAUUUUUUUAGUUCAAGUUGUCUGAUGUUUACCACUGAUUUUGCAUUGACGUAAUUAGAGCCCUAAAUCUAUUUGUUAGACUACAGGUGGCACUCAUCUAGCCG